GACGAACGCUGGCGGCGUGCUUAACACAUGCAAGUCGAACGGUGAAGGGGUCUGCUUUUGUGGGCCCUGGAUGAGUGGCGAACGGGUGAGUAACACGUGAGUAACCUGCCCCCUUCUUCUGGAUAACCGCAUGAAAGUGUGGCUAAUACGGGAUAUUCUGGGUCUGUCGCAUGAUGGGUCUGGGAAAGAUUGCGCCUUUGGGUGUUUUUGGUGGGGGGUGGGCUCGCGGCCUAUCAGCUUGUUGGUGGGGUGAUGGCCUACCAAGGCGGUGACGGGUAGCCGGCCUGAGAGGGUGGACGGUCACACUGGGACUGAGACACGGCCCAGACUCCUACGGGAGGCAGCAGUGGGGAAUAUUGCACAAUGGGCGCAAGCCUGAUGCAGCGACGCCGCGUGAGGGAUGGAGGCCUUCGGGUUGUAAACCUCUUUCGCCAGUGAAGCAGGCCUGCUCCUUGUGGGUGGGUUGACGGUAGCUGGAUAAGAAGCGCCGGCUAACUACGUG
rnacentral:rRNA from 1 species